AAUCUAUCAUGUGCACCUGAUAUAAAAACUGCAUGUGCAGUCUGAUUAUGUUGCAAGACUGGGAAUU
rnacentral:snoRNA from 1 species